rnacentral:misc_RNA from 1 species
GAUGAAGAACGCAGCGAAAUGCGAUACUUGGUGUGAAUUGCAGAAUCCCGUGAACCAUCGAGUCUUUGAACGCAAGUUGCGCCCGAAGCCAUUAGGCCGAGGGCACGCCUGCCUGGGCGUCACACGUCGUUGCCCCCCCAUCUACUCCUUCGGGAUUGCGGGGGGCGGAUGAUGGCCUCCCGUGCGCCUCGCCGCGCGGUUGGCAUAAAUGCCAAGUCCUCGGCGACGCACGCCACGACAAUCGGUGGUUGCGAAACCUCGGUUGCCCGUCGUGUGCGGUCGUCGCGCAUCAAGGGCUCGAAAAAAUUGCCGGGUUCCGGCUCGGCUUUCAACGCGACCCCAGGUCAGGCGGGGUUACCCGCUGAAUUUAAGCAUAUCAAUAAGCGGAGGA